GGAGCGCUCAGUCUUUUCGUGUUUCUUCCUCCUCGGAUCUGCUCUGUCUACCGCCGCCAUGGCCCAAGCUGACAUUGCACUGAUUGGACUGGCUGUCAUGGGCCAGAACUUAAUUUUGAACAUGAAUGAUCAUGGGUUUGUGGUAAGUACUGAGGACACGUCGCCUUCCCCUUGCGAUUGGUCAUUUGUUUUUCAGAGAAUCUCAAGGGAUCUGAUGCAGCUUCUCCCUCAGUAAGCCCUGUUGUUGCUUACUGGUCUUUGUAGAAGAAUUUCUGCUUUAGUUGUGCUGUCUCUGUAGUUAAAGGAAGAGCCUCUUUGGAUAGAAGUAAAUAUAAAAGCAGUGGUUCUCA
rnacentral:lncRNA from 1 species